GCUGGGCAUGGUGGUGCAUGCCUGUAGUCCCAGCUACUUGGGAGGCUGAGGCAGAAGAAUCACUUGAACCCAGGAGGUGAGGUUGCAGUGAGCUGAGAUUGUGUCACUGCAUUCCAGCCUGGGUGACAGAGUGAGACUCUGUCUAAA
rnacentral:sRNA from 1 species